AAGCGCUUGCAACCAGACUUGCGCGUGGCCGAUCAUCCUGUGCUCGCACGGGUGCACUCGGCCGCGCGCAGGCCAGCAUCGGUUUGGGUGGCUGGAUAAAGGCCUUGGGAAUGUGGCUCUCUCCGGGGAGUGUUAUAACCCAGGGUAUAAUACCCCUAAGGAGACCGAGGUUCGCGCUCUGCAAGGAUGCUGGCGUAAUGGU
rnacentral:rRNA from 1 species